rnacentral:rRNA from 1 species
CCUACGGGGGGCAGCAGUGGGGAAUAUUGCACAAUGGGGGAAACCCUGAUGCAGCAACGCCGCGUGAGUGAAGAAGGUUUUCGGAUUGUAAAGCUCUGUUAGCAGGGAAGAGGAAGGACGGUACCUGCAGAGGAAGCCACGGCUAACUACGUGCCAGCAGCCGCGGUAAUACGUAGGGGGCAAGCGUUAUCCGGAUUUACUGGGUGUAAAGGGAGCGUAGACGGAAUUGCAAGUCUGAUGUGAAGAUCCGGGGCCCAACCCCGGAACUGCAUUGGAAACUGUAUUUCUAGAGUGUCGGAGAGGCA